rnacentral:piRNA from 1 species
UAAACGGCUAAUAGAAAAUAUGGAU